AUAUAAAAUAUAUAUUGUUUUUAUCUUUUGUUCCCUGCACAAUUUUUCUCUCAGCGUUGAUGCUUCCAAAGAGGACGGAACACUUGGACGACUGGUGAAUGAUGAUCACAAAAAUCCAAACUGUAAAGUAAAGACAAUAAUUGUAAAUGGAACACCACACCUGUGCCUUUUUAGUAUUAGGGAUAUCUUUCCAGGUGAGGAGGUAACUUACAACUAUGGGGAUUCUUCUUGGCUAUGGCGUUCAAGGGUGAGUAUGUGUGCUCUAACAUAACUUUUAAUUUAUAUAAACCAUGUUGUAGUGUGUUAUGCAUUAAAUUUAUUUCUUCAGUUUUUAGUGAAGCAGAUAACUCCAUGUAUGCUGUGUGCACUACAAAGCUGUUAAUGGCAGUAGAUAUUUACACUGUGGUUAUUAUUGUGAAUGCUAAAAUGAAUUGUGUUGACUACUUGGCUAACAUUAUUCCCUCACUGUUGUACCUCUCUUUCUCACGUUUACAGGAAUUAUGUGACGGGACAUCGGUGGAAUUGCGCAAAUGCAGAGUGAAAACAUCCACACCAGAGAAAGAGAACGAAUUAUGUGACGAGACAUCGGUGGAAUUGCGCAAAUGCAGUGUGCAAACAUCCACACCAGAGAAAGAGAACGUAAGUCAGCAUAUUUUCCUUCUUGACCGUGACAGUGUUGGAUGUGGGAGGGUUGAGCAUCAUACUAGACUGUUUUACCUGGACUGCUGUUUUAAAGACGUUGUUGUGACGACUCGCACUUUGAGAUAAUUAUACCGCUCUCUGUUCAUUCACUUACAUAACUUGUGUGUCGGGGGAUGGGCAUGACGCUGACAUGAAAUGUAAGGACAGUUUACACUGUGAGGACCGUCAUAUUUUACACACUUGAUGAAAACCUGCCGGCUUGGUUGUGGCGGCUUUUUAGGCUUCGUUACACCUGGUAUUAAGAUGCGUUUUGUCAGCCUCAUCAGCAGUGGAUAAAGCUAAAUACAGGUGUAAACAAGGUCUACAAUGCUUUGAGCCUGUCCACUUUCGACCACUUCCAGAGGUAGUGGAAAACUCCUUCGAUUGGAUUGUAUUUCAAAGUGUAAACACUCAUGCAUUCCAACAGCCACUAAAACCAGCUACUCUCUGCCUAUUGACCCAACACGUGAUCCUAAUGGGACGUCUUUAGAGAACGUGCACCAAUGCAAGAUACUCAUAUUUUGCAGCAUAGUACCAAAACAUACAGAUUGCAAUACAAAUCGUAGUUGCUAUCCAUGUCUUUUUUAGUAGCUUGCUUUUCUCUAACCCUAGCCUGCUUGUGAACAGCCAUGUAACGAUGGUUAAUUCAUUAAUUCAUUCAUUAGAACUUGUGCAUCACACUGAGCACUAGAAUUAGUUGUGUUGACUAAUUGACUACAGAAAUGUUUGUUAAAUUUUGACUGUAUAGAAAAUUUCCACGAAAGAAAGUCACUGUGUGAAGUUUACUUAUAAAGUUGAUAUAAUAAACCAACUUUUUUUUGUUUAUUUUAUUUUAUUUUUUUUAAAUACUUAAAUACGGUUGUAUACAUGUACAUGUUUUGUAUCUGUGUUCUUGACUUUUAGAAAACAAAACAGAUUUGUCCUAUAAAUUGGUAAUGUUUUUUUUGUCCAGUUGAAUUAUAAACUGUAUUUUCCAGGCAUAUCCAUUUUUCUUUAUUUGUUGUUUUUAAAUAAAUAAAAUAAUCAAUUAAUAGAAAAUUGUGCAGUGAUCUGAUUAAUUCUAAACUAAACACAAGCAGAUUUUUUUCAGUAUGUUCAAGAUCAUGGCACAAAAGCUGUUUCCUGAAGAAUAUGAAAAUGCCAGAGGUUGAAUUUUCAAGUUUAGAAGAAACCAGCUCUGAUGAACAGUAUUCUCCAUGCUUCGAAUCUUUGCUCAGUGAAUCUUCUGAUGGCUUUGUCCCAGACUCUGAACAUAAUAGUGAUGGUGAAAAUAGCCCGUCUAUCAAGACACAGAAACCACCAACUCAUAAGACCACACCAUCUUAUAAGAGGGCUAAUAGUGUUCCACAGCACAAUCAAUGUUCAUCCAUUAGGCUAGACAUGGUGAGUGCUAAUUCCAGCUCUGCUCAAGACCUCAUGUGCGACUAUGCACUUGGUGAUGAUCAUGAUAGUGCCACACACAGAACUGAGACACUCCAGAGGAGUGCAACAGAGUCUUCUGAUAAACAACCAGAGAUUGACAAUGUGUCGAGCCUCAAAGAAAUCCCCCAAAAAACUUUUUCUACCCAAAAAAAUUAUUGUUUUCUCUGCAAGAAACCUCAGUCUAAAAUAGCCCGUCACUUCAAAAAGCAUAAAGACAGUGAGAGAGAAAUCGCUGCUGCAUUCUUGCUCCCUAAACACAGGAGAAGGUUACUCGAGAAGCUACGAAACAGAGGCAACUAUGAACAUAAUCAAGAGGUUAUGGAAACUAAAAAGGGACCACUAAAAGUUAAAAGAUACCAGGAAGAUCAGAGGUUAAACUGAGUGCCAAAUCAUAUGUUCACUGUGUGUACUGCAAAGGCCUGUUUCUUCGCAAGGAGCUGUGGCACCAUACACGGACAUGUCCAUCAAAGAUGUCUUCAGCGUCUGAAGCAACAAGUAAAGCACAAGUCUUAGUUUUGGCUGAUAUUGCAGAGUCAAUGUUUUCUAGAGCAAUAUCUCCUGAGGUGUGGAAGAUCUUGGGAAAUAUGAAGAAUGAUGAUAUUUCAUCUGUAGUUCGAAAUGACUUCCUCAUAGUGUAGUUGAGUCAAUCUCUUUACAACAAACAUGGAAGCGAUGAUGCUUGAAUGUUUUGAGAAAAGAGACCAGACAGAGCUCCAUGAGGACACACAGUAGCUGUCGGUCUCUCUCCAUUUGAGCAAAAGAUGUGCAAGCAUUUCAGUAGAGUAGAAAUAAUCAAGACCAAAGUGCUCACCCACCAGCUUCUUUAUGGGACAGGACUGCAUAAGGCUUUUUGCAGGUCAGUGUGGUGCAAAAAACCCUGAAUAUCUUCGGUCUACCCAGCUGCGUAAGCAGGUGGCAACAAUGUCCCAGAUUCUAAAUCUUAAGGAUAAUGAGCUGGAUCAGCUAGCCAACUUUUUGGGCCAUGACAUCCGGGACCAUAGAGACUAUUGUCGGUUGCCAGAUGCAACUAUAGAAAUUGCAAAAAUCUCAAAGCUGCUUUUAGCAAUGGAGAAAGGAGCUCUCACAAGUUUCCAAUGAAAAUCUCUUGAUGAAAUUGAAAUUGAAGGUAUGUGCAUGAUUUUAUAUAAUGAUGAUGAUGAUAAAAAUAAGUGCUUAUCAGAAAUACCUUAAAUCCAGGAAUACACAACAUUUCAAGCAAUGAAGUUUGGAUGUAUAACUGUCAUAAAUAACAAUGAAUUAAAAUAAUUAGAAGAAGGGCAACAUUGUAAAACUUGAGAAAAUGCAAAAAGACCAAAAGGACUGGGGUACUAUGACAUAAAUAUAGAUUAAAUUUAGGAGUGGAGAAGAGUAAAACCUUGUUUAUUACUUUGUUAAAUUAUGGAAGUUUAGUAAGUAUACUAAAUGCAUGUGUGUGGGGGUGUUUGUCAAAUUUGUUUUUCUGUAGAUGAAAUUGAUCUGGAAUUAGAUGAGGAAGAAAUAAGUGGUGGUGAUGAUGAUGAUGAUGAGUCAGAUCCUGUACAGGUAGUAAGGGGUAUGUAAGGAAUUUGAAUCUCGUGUGCAUCAGUGGUAUAGUGUAUUCACUACAGAACUUGCUACUGGAGGCCCAUUUUAUUCUUCAUGCAGGCUUGCAAGUGGUCUCUUUGUAUUCAAUAUAGAUUUAUUAAAAAAUUUUUAAAUUAGCCUAAAUUGGGAUGCCUCAUACCUACCGAUACUGAUUACUGAUCUGUUUUUUCAGUUUUACAAAUAUUGUGUGGAGAUGUACAGUAUGAACAGCAUUAGUUGUCUUAUUUCAUUCAGCAAAUCAAGAUUUUCUUCAGUUAUUUUUAUGCGUAAUAGUACCUGGUAAAAUGUAUUGUUCAAGAUUCAACUUUUUUCACUGUCCAUUCUAUUGCUUUGUCAUAUUUUCAUUUAAAGCUAGGGUGAGCAAUGGGUUUUUAAACAUUUUUGUUAAAGUUGGGUUCUGAAGUUCCAAUUGUGUACCAUAAACUUUUUUUACAUUUAGGAAACAAAACAAGGAUGGAGUUGACCCAGGAUGAGGCAGAAAGUUCCAACGAGGCCAAAUAAAGGAGAACUGUGAAAAGGCCAUGGAGCCCAAAUGAAGCGAAUGCUGUCAUGAAGUAUUUCAAAGCACAUAUUUUAAAGGGAAGCCUCGCAACAAAGGCAGAGUGUGAGCAGUGCAAAACUGCAGAGGAUCCUGUUCUUAAAGAAAGAACGGUACAGAAUAUAAGGGAUUUCGUGAGGAACCGAGGUUUGCAGUUUAAAAAGAAAAAUUCUUAGAUCCGGAUUGGUGUCACCAUCCAUUAAUGUAUAUGGCUUUUGUUGUUUUUUGUUGAUCCAUUGAAUUCACAAGUUGACACUUUUAGUAGUUUUACACAUUUACAUUUACAUUAUUUUUUGUAUAGACAGUUCAGCAAUUUGGCUUUAUUUCCACUGGUACUGUGGUGUCGAUGUAGUUUUAAAGCACAUUCAAUGAUGCAUCUUAUUCAGAUAAACUUCAGUCUCAUCGAUGAGGCAUUUUUAUUUUACCUUUUACCUUUUGUUAAUUCAUCUAUUUAGACUUCAAUUGGUCUACUUUGAAGUAUACAUUUUUGCUUAUUUUUGACUUUGUUCGAAAAGGUUCAUUUUCAUAAUUUGCAUUUUGCAGCAGCAUACUAGCAGAGUCCUUAAAUCUCUUCACUGUAGAUGAUUUGGUUUAAUGUUGUAUUAAGUUUGACUCUAGUUCAAAUUCUAUGUUUUCUUCAACAUUUGAAGCAAAAGAAUUUGCAUACGUUGAAAGUAUCAUUAAAGAAAGGCCUGUUCUUAAGAAUCUAGGAGACAAGUGCGUGUUUUAUGGCCUUGCAUACCAAUGUUGUACUGCUUUCUGGGUUAGCUAGAUGUGUAAGCAUGGGGUAAACAUAGCAAUGUCCAGUUAAACCCAGAUUGUCCUCUUAACUACAGGUAAGUUAAGUGUGUGUUAUGUCCUGUAAACCCAGAUUGUCCUCAUAGCUAUGGGUUAGGGGUGUAUAUUCAAUUCAAUUAAAUUUAUUUUGUAUAGCACUUUUAACAAUUUCCCAUUGUCUCAAAGCAGCUUUACAGAAGUAUAGAAAUAUAAGUGAAUAUAUACAGUACAAUUAAAGUUUAAAAUUAAUUUAAAAUAGAUUAACUUAAAAUUUAAAAUACUAUAUAUCUAUCCCUAUCCCUAAUGAGCAAGCCGGAGGCCAUCCUCAUUUGGGUGACACUCUACAGUAAAUAGUGUAAAUGUAAAUAAUGUCCUUUCUACAACAGUUUAUAAUAGUGCAACCGAGAGCUCCUGAGUAAACUAAUGGGUCAUCGUAAACUCUGAGUUCAGCACAGACCUGAUUGCUGAUAAAGACCAGACCAUACAGCUGACUGACACAACAUUGGUUCAAAAUGGUGUAUGUGUGAUCUGUUAAACCCGACCCUAUCGACCCAUUCAGAGCCGAUCAGCCCUAUACGCACACUACGCAAGUUGUCUAGCGAUACGUCGUCUUCAUGGACGUGAUGCCCCGAGUCACAAGUGCUAAUGAGCAACGUAUCGCUAAAGUCACACUGAUCCUCACGGGGUUCAGUGUGUUCACCGCUGCGUUGCUUCUCUAACACACACACAGUGUUCAGUGUGUUCAUCAACACACUGCUCCUCUAACCCUUCCAUGCUGCCCCACCACACACACACACACACACACACACACACACACACUUGUGAGUGUAAGUGCACUUGUAGGACUUCCUGGAUUGUGAUGUAAACAUGUUUCUUUACGCUGUAAAAAAUGUCAUUAAACUUGAGAUAUUUUAUUAAUGCUCGCUCUGUUCUGAACUACAUAGGGCACUAGAUUCUGCAGUGUACACUUCAUCUGCACUAUAGCAUCUUACCAUUAAAGUGUGUGAAGAAACUAUAUAAUGUCCCCGACCCCAAGCCCAUAUACAUGAAGCCCUGCCUCUUAGUAGAUUACUUUACUCCUCUCUUAAUUUGUGUGUGAGUGUGUGUGAGUGUGACAGAGAAAGAUUUUAGAUACAUAGUAAAGUGUUCCACAGUAAAGAGACGAGAGAAUUAAAUUCCAGGAUGAUUUUAUUGUGUUUUCUUUCUGUUGAACAAUCUGCAGUCACAUAUUAAAAGUAAAUGUUUACUGUGUUUCUGCAGGUGACAAGAUCUGAAGUGUGUUUAACCAUGCAUCUUGUAAAAAAGAAAAAAAAACAUCAGUGCCUCACAUGAAUAUCACAUGAGAUAAUGAUUAAAGUAUAUCAUUUACAGUGUGGAUAUUAGGGAUGAGCGAGUACAGCAUUAUCUGUAUCUGUAUCAGAAAUUGUUAUAUUUAUUGCUGAUUAGAAAAAUAUUUACAGGACAGCAUCAGGAUUGAGCUUCAGAUCAAUGGUUUUGAUCACGAUAGCAAACGAACUAUAUUACAGAACAAGUUUUGCAACAAUGAAAACAAAACAAUGCAGUGCAAUUAUGAAGUAAAAUGUAAUGAACAAUAUAACUUUCUUUUUUAACUUUUAA